rnacentral:lncRNA from 1 species
UUCCGAGUCGUGCGGCGGCUGGAUGCUGUGCUGGAGGCUGCUGAAAGCAUUGCUCGGGGCCGGGGCUGCUGUUUUUUUCUGUUUAGGGUUUCUUUUUUUGGGGGGGGCUAGGGUUUAGUUGGGUAUUAGGUUAAUGGGUUUGUUGGCCAGUUGGACUUUAUUUAUUUUUAGUUUAAAUUUGUUUUUUACUUGGUUUUAUUUGCAUAUGGGCUGGGCAAAUUUUGGGCUUGUACAUCCUUAUUUGCAUUAACUAUUGAAAAUGUAUUUAAAAUUUUGUAUUAAUUUGUACUUUAUGUAUCAUUAUAU